CCAACUUUGACUCUUUGAGGGCUGUUUACUUUCUUUUAGGGGUGAAAGUAAUACAAUUUAAAACCGAAAACCGAUCCAAAUCGAACCGAAUUAACAAUUUGGUUUGGAUUUUUUCGGUUUAGAUCGGUUCCAAAAAUCCAAAACCGAAUUAUUUCGGUUUGGGGCUUCAAAAAACCGAACAUCGAAAUUCCAAACCGAAUUUUAAGCCCAGACCAUUUCCCCUCCAUAUAUAAACCUAAACCCUAAUUUUCUUUCCCUCUUUUCCAUUUCCUUUUUCCUUUCUUGUGAACUUUAGAUCUUCGCAUCUCCCUGCCUCUCUCACCAAGUCACCACCUCCCUAAAUUCUCCCCCUUUUCUCACCAUUCACCACCUUGCGCGAACACCACCACCUCACGACCUCCCUUUACACUUCCCUCACCACCUUGCGUGAACUAUGAGUUGCGAAUUCUGAGUUGCGAGUUCAGAUCUUGCGAAUUCUAGGUUGCGAGUUCAGAUCUUGCGAGUUGCGAGUUGCGGCUCCUUCACCACCUUGCGCGAACACCUUUUGCGGCUCCUUGUGCGCGCUCCCUCACCAACACCUCCGUCACUUUCGCUCAAAGGUUUGAAGAGUUGAAGGUGUCGAAGCUGCUGCCAUCAUGUUGAAUUUGUUGCUAUGUUGAAGCAGCCAUGUUGAAUUUAUUAAUUAAAUCUUGAAUAAAGACUUUUAUUGCAUUUUUAAGACUUUUGUAAUGUGAAAUUUUAUUCUAAUGGCUGGACUUUUUUUUUUUUAUUAUGCUAUCUCCUAAUUUUGGCAAAUAUUAGGCUAUUUUAAGGGCCAAAAUAAUAGGUCCAAUAAUAACAGGCCCAACUUUUUAGGCCCAAAACAACAGCCUAACAAAAUUUCGGUUUGGAUUCGUUUCUGAAAACCGAAUUAUUUCGGUUUGGAUUGGAUUGGAUCCAAUCCAAAUUCGGUUUGGAUUCGGUUCCAAAAAUCCGAAACCGAAAUAAUUCGGUUCGGACUCGGUUUGGCCAAUAAUCCAAACCAAAAUCCGAACUUUCACCCCUACUUUCUUUAAUCCCAAUGAAAAGGUUAAUUUUUAUUUUAUUUUUAUAAAUGCCACUUGUUUAGAGCUAAUUAGCCAAAAAAUUAAAUAAAAGAACAAAAAAAUUAAAAAAAAUCUUUUAGAAAACCCAGCCCACCCUUUCCAAGACUACCCCAGCCCCACCACCCACCGAAACCCAGCCACCCCAAUCCCUCCCCGUACUGGAAAACCCACCCCUCCUCUCGCUGGCCAGCCGCCCCUCCUCCCGUCCCGUCGCCCCUCCUCCUUCCCCCUUGAACCACCACCACCACCCCUAAUCCCCGUAACCAUCCUCUCUCCCCUCAAAACACCCAUGAAACUCCUCCCCUUACCCUUGAAAAACCUCCUAAUUUUCUCGAGGGUGGGGGGAGGGGUUUCGUGGGUGUUUGGAGGGGUGGGCCGUGGAGGACUUUCGUGGGUGUUUCGAGGGGAGAGAAGGGGGGAGUUACGGGGACUGGGGGUGGUGGUUCAAGCGGGAAGGGGGAGGGGCGACGGGAUGGGAGGAGGGGGUGGGUUUUGCGAUACGAGAGGGGAUUGGGGUGUUGGGAUUCCGGUGGGCGAUGGGGAAGGGGGGAGGUGCUGGGCGGGGGGUUACAGUUUUUUUUUUUUUUUUUUUUUUUCUGGACCAAUUACAACUUGACACAUGUUACAUAACUUGUGAUAACAGGUCAUUGAUUUUUAUUGACCGGUUUGGGAUUGAAGAAAGUAAACAACCUCUAAAGUUGGGAUUAUUCCAAAAUAAUUCAAAUUUGGGAAUAUUAAAAGAAAAUGGAGCAAAGUUGGGAUAAUUAAUAUCAAUUUUUCCUAAUUAUUAUGACCGUGGGCUAACAAAAGGCCAUCCCGAAGAAAAUGGCUUCUGGUUAAAAAGACGAGCAAGUCCCUACAUCAUACUACCAAGUAUGAAGUAUAUUUUAUGCUAGCUAUAUGGUUUCCCAUAUGAUCCCUAAUAACUAAUCCUGCAAUAGCAACAUUAUUUAUAGAAGAACCAUCAAUUAAUUAACUUUUAAAGUAGAUUUCCUGAGACUAGAAGAAAAAGAGCAAUUUAAAAGAUAAUUGUUGUUUAGUUUCAUAGUGAGAAUACAUAGGGGAUAAAUAGUACAAAUAUCAAGUUGAUGAUGAGCAAGAUUGGCUCUAGAGUGAAGACUAUAAUGCAACAUUAACCAUAUGAAAAUCUUUAUUAUUUUGGGAGGGACAUCUAGUUUCCUAAUCCAAUAAAAUUUCCAUUUAGAAUUUAGAGAGAUAAUACCAUGGGCAAGCCAAGUAGCAGAUUUAACUAUAAAUUGAUCUAACCAAAAAAAAAAAAAAAAAACCCCUAAAGUUAUCUGUAAUUGGAGAAGAAGAGAGGGAAAAAACCUCAAAUAAUAUUAACCAAAUAUGAAGGAAGAAACUUGGAAAGUUUCACAUUACAUUCCAAGAGUUAUCUUCUUGUAUAAAAUAGUUACAAUUAAGUUAAUAUUUUGAUCUAGGAUCCAUUGACGUUAGUAUCGGCACACCAAAUAUCAACACAAAAACAGAAAAUUAACUAUAAAUCAUUACCAAUUUUCCACCAAAGGCUUUAUUUGUAAUUUUUUUUACAUAUUCAAGAGUCUUUGGUUUGAGGAGUGCAUUCUAAAAAUGUAAUAUGAUGAAAUAUAAAGUGUAUUUGGUUGUAACAAAUUGUACCUUUAAAUUGGAAUGAUCACAAAGGAUUUCCCAUUCUAAUUUUGCCUACAAAGCAGAAUUAAUUGCUUUUGUUUUACAUAAGGCCAAAUUAAACCUCCUUAAUUGGUUUUUAGGCUGAAAGAUGUGAAACCAGGGAAAGCCUUUUAUAUUGACAAUUGAUUGCAAAAAAAAAAAUUCUUUUUAAUUUGAUUUGAAAUAGUAGUCACAAAACCUAAUAGUCUAGUCGUAGACGUAGUUUAAGAUCGAAGGAAUAACUUCUAGAUGACGUUGUACCAAUAAUGACUUUCCAUUGUGUGUCUUGUGUGUGUGACGGUUGGGAGCUAGUCUCCUUUAUCUCCUUGUAUAGUAAUCAAAAAAAAAAAAGGAAAAAAAAAUAUCCAGCUUUAGAAACCAGGUUUGGUGAGCAGGUUUCAAUUUUUUUGUUCGGCUUUUUUUUUCAAAUGUUGAAAAUUUUAUUUGUUAUAUCUACUUGAAUUGAGGAAUACUUCCGAAUAACAGUCAAAAAAUAUUUAUGGGUCAUAUGAAAGUAAGUAGCGAGUUAGCAUUAUUUCUUACAUAUGGACUUUAAAGGAUAGUUAAAUAAAAUUUCAUACUACGUAUGUUUGUAUAGAUAUAAUUUGCAUGUAUGCUGUGUAAUACUUCUUAUGUGCUUAACUUGCAACAAUGACCCUACGUGGAUCUAAAUUUGAGGUAGUUUCAGUCUAAGUUGAUGCCAUUUUCCAUUCAAAUUACUAGUUACUACGUUAGUAUGUUAAAUGAACUAAUAAAAUUAGAGCCAAACCUAUUCAGUUAGAUGUCACUUGUUCUUCCAAUUUUCCAAGGUCAAUCGAGCAUUGAAUAUGUAAUAUGUAGUCUUUUUUUAUUAUUCAAAUUGGGAAGAAAGGGCAUAUAUAAUUUAGACACUAAAUUUUUAUAUUGUAGGUAAGUGAUGUGUUAAUGUCACCUUUACUGAUAAUUAAAUUAUAAAGUUAAGUUUUAAUCGCCCGUGUAACUUUUGAAUUCCCUAUCUAGGUUAGCCUUUCCCAUAUGAGCAAUAAGCAUUAUAAACCACUAUAAACACACCAAUAUGGAUGUUGCCUCUGUUCAAAAUAAGAAAGCAAAAAUGCUGAAAUUUACUAAAGAAAAUAAUGUUGCAUUCUUACUCAAUCGAUAACAAUGAAAUUGCCUUUAUAUAUAGGCUUAAUAAAACUAACAAAAUCGAAAUGUAGCCCAUUAAUUCCUUGCUUCAUAGAAAACUAAACCCACUAACAAAGAUGACUAAACAAAGCACUAAACCCACAACUUAUUAAAAAAUAGCAACUCAAUAUAGAAAAGUUAGGAAUGUUCCAUUACUUUGAAGCAUAUAAUUUAACAGCCUCAUAUGGGACUUGUUGUACCUGGACACCGGGAAAACUAAAAUCGCAUACUAAAAUUGCAUGACAAUAGGCUAAUAAAUCGUUGGAUAAUUAAAGGAGUAUAUUUUGGAUCUAAUUGACGAAUUGGCACAAAUCCAAUAGACUUCAAUUUGAUAUCAAAGAAUGAACAAUCUUUACAACUAUUGUGGUGCUAGUGUUGCAUGGUUUGCCGUCAAAAAUAAACCACCCAAAAAAUAUAACAACUAAACAAUGUUGUUCUUACAGUAAAAACUCAUGAUCUCAUUGCAAAAUUCAUCGUCCAAGAUUAUUGCUAGAUCGAGCACACAACGUGCUUAGUCUAAAAUAGAUACGUAGUACAAAAUUUCGCCGUGUGGCUGAUUUGAGAGAUGGUGAUAGACCACUUUGUGUAUAAGCUUUCCUUGGCUUAGAAGAAAUGCAAACCAUAUAAAAAAGAAACACCAACUAUGUAGUAGCUUCUCAAGUUUGGUGCACCACAUAAAAUGUUGCUGUCGAUUUCUUCACUUUAUUUGGUGUGUGUGACAACACAAGCCUUAAACUUUAAGGUAAAUAAUUACUUCAAUUAACAUGUUAUAAUGUCAUUUUAUAAAUGUUACGUACCAAACCUUUAAGUACUAUAUAUAUUUGGGUUCUUCAUCUCUACUACAUUACCAUCUCCAAUUGUUUUUUCUUAUAGUUUUCGGAAUUUCAACAAAAUAUUCACUAAAUUUAAGAAAUGGCAUGCCAAUUAGCUACAGUUCGAUCAAUGAUGUUAGCACUAGUAAUGGUGGCCUUAUACUUUGUUACCGUUACAGGUCAAGAAACCGGGCUUUCCCCACUGCCUGCCGCGGUUGCUGGAGAUGGUGUUACAUUGCCGGUUUCUGGAACAUUGAUGGUCUCAUCUGUGUUGAUCUCUAUGAUUGCAUUUUUGUUAAACUGAAUGUAUUUUUGUCACUGGAUUAUGGCUUUGUGUAUUUCUUUACGUGAUUUUCCUAUAUGUUUCUAUAAUGGUCACUUUAGUCCAAUAUACAUACAUUAUUCUUGGUUUUUUUUUUUAUUGUAUUUUAUUAGUUUACUAUGUAUUCUACUGAUAAUUUGUGGGAAUUAUAUUGACAUUUAAUGUUUUGUAUAUUAAUUGUUGGUUUACAUGAAUAAUAAGGCUGCCUUGUAGUUGAUUGGGAAUGAA